CCCCUUUUCAUUUUCCACGGCCGCCCUAUAUGGGGUCCUGCCGGUUUCGGCCGGCUAUGGCGAUAAACUGCGGCGUGCAAUAGGCGCAGCGGACCCGGGGGCGGUACCCGGCGGCUCCACCAUCACCACCCGGUAUUCAGGCCGGGGCGCUGUUGUCGCAGCGGUGAUGACGGGGCCGAACUAGGAUCGACGUGUGUUGAAAAGCGCUGUUUUUGCCCGGGCUGAGUAACCCGUUAAAGGCUCAAAACUCACAAGUGCCAACGACAACGAAGCACUUGCUCUGGUUGCGUAAUUCUAGGGGCUAGCGCCCUGACCUUACAAGACACGAGCACGGUUGAACCGACCGGGUAACAGAACGGAGUUCGGGGGCCCGGGGCGAGCCUAGCAACAGAAUCGCCCCACU
rnacentral:tmRNA from 1 species